UGAGAAAGUUGAUGUGAUUGCCGGCUCCUC
rnacentral:piRNA from 2 species